AAAAUAGAGUAUACUUUUGAACAAUUAGGUUCAUUAAUAUCUUAAGAAUUUUAAAAAGUAAAACCUACUACCUAUGCCUUUUAUAGACCUUUCUGUCUUCAAGUGCUGUGAAUAGACUGAAAUGAACUCUGGAGUAACAUAAUUCAAAACAGCCUCGACAAAAUUACAAAUGAUCAUUUAGUAUUUCCUAACAAAGCAAAGAGACUAGAGAACUUUGGUUCUGUCAAAAUCAUUGCAAAAUUGCCACAAAUUAAAAUAGAGUGAAAAUUUGAGUGAUAAGCAAACCUAGAAGAAGAAUUUAAAAAGCACUACAGUCAUGUAAGUGUUAAUGUACAUUUCUAAAAACCCCAGUUCACAUGUUUAUGUACUUCCCAAAGACCUUCGUGUUCUAGUAUUUUAAUAUAUGCCUUGGGUGUUUAUUAAUAGGCACUUUGGAAAAUCAUUCAGGCCACUGGCUUUCUUCCUUUUAGUGCUGGGAAAUAGUAAUUUACUAAAUAGCAACUCAUUAAUGUGAAAGAGUUAAUGGAAAAACUGUGUUAUGCAUUUUGAUAAUCUACUUCAAUAAAUAUAACCACAUAAUGAUGAUUAUUUAGAAAUAUAAGUAGCAACAGUAAAUCUAAAUAAAGACAUUAUUUAUAAAAUUGGGACUAGUAAUAUUUUCCCACAUAUUGGUAGGAAAAAGUUAUUAUUAUUAUUUUUUGGUCUCUUUAUUCUAGAUUGUUGGUAAUUUGGAAAUAAGAAGAAAAAUAAAUUAUGUCUGGGGAAGUCCAGAGAAAAGAAUCUGGAUUCAGGGUGAUUACUGCAUGUUCUUUAUCCUUGAAAUUGUUCUGGGUAUUAUCAAGUAAUAUAUAUUUCCUCCCCUUUUACUUCACAGGAUGAAGCAUUCCAGUCAUCACUGUGCUGCCAAUAUGAAUGAAGACCCAGAGGGAAAAGGAGGCAGAGGAGCUGCCAAAAACAGGCAAUGGAAGAAAGUAAGUGAGAUGGGAAGAAGAGUCACCAGACGCAUCCUGGGAUGA
rnacentral:lncRNA from 1 species